CCCGCUGGAACUUAAGCAUAUCAAUAAGCGGAGGAAAAGAAACCAACAGGGAUUACCUCAGUAACGGCGAGUGAAGCGGUAACAGCUCAAAUUUGAAAGCUGCCAACAGGCCGCGUUGUAAUUUGUAGAAGAUGCUUUGGGUGUUGGCCUAGUCUAAGUUCCUUGGAACAGGACGUCAUAGAGGGUGAGAAUCCCGUAUGUGAUUAGUGCCAUCCCCCGUGUAAAGCUCUUUCGACGAGUCGAGUUGUUUGGGAAUGCAGCUCAAAAUGGGUGGUAAAUUUCAUCUAAAGCUAAAUAUUGGCCAGAGACCGAUAGCGCACAAGUAGAGUGAUCGAAAGAUGAAAAGCACUUUGGAAAGAGAGUUAAACAGUACGUGAAAUUGUUGAAAGGGAAGCGCUUGCAAUCAGACUUGCAGGCGGUUGAUCAUCCGAGGUUCUCCCCGGUGCACUCGAUCGUCUUCAGGCCAGCAUCGGUUUCAGUGGUGGGAUAAAGGCUGUGAGAAUGUGGCUCUUCGGAGUGUUAUAGCUCACGGUGCAAUGCCGCCUACUGGGACCGAGGACCGCGCUUCGGCUAGGAUGCUGGCGUAAUGGUUGUAAGCGACCCGUCUUGAAAACACGGA
rnacentral:rRNA from 1 species